rnacentral:rRNA from 1 species
GUGGGCGCUGGAGAAUUGAGGGGGGCUGCUCCUAGUACGAGAGGACCGGAGUGGACGCAUCACUGGUGUUCGGGUUGUCAUGCCAAUGGCACUGCCCGGUAGCUAAAUGCGGAAGAGAUAAGUGCUGAAAGCAUCUAAGCACGAAACUUGCCCCGAGAUGAUUUCUCCCUGAGACUUUAAGUCUCCUGAAGGAACGUUGAAGACGACGACGUUGAUAGGCCGGGUGUGUAAGCGCAGCGAUGCGUUGAGCUAACCGGUACUAAUGAACCGUGAGGCUUAACCUUA